GUUGAAGAUUAAGAUUGAUUUAAGAUGUCAUUUGAUACAGUGUUUUAAAUCUAUGUUUUAAAUAAAGAUUAUUGUCUUUUAUCUAAAUAUUCUAAAUAAUUUUAACUAAACAUACAGAUUUGUCAGCAGAACUAGACUUAGAAAUGACAUCAGAGGAAGAAGAAGAAAAACCUGUUGGAGAUGAAAAUAACCAUUCCCAGGUUGAAGAAGAAAAGAAGAAGCACAAAAGUAGUGAAGUGGAAAUAUCAGACAAUGUAUGUGAUACUGCUGAUGAGAGUGGAUUGAUUCAGCAGAGAAAGAGUGGAGGAAACAGCAGUCAGGAGUUUGCUGCUAUGGAGAAUGAAGGUUCUGAUAGCGAUCCUGGCGUGCAUAGAAAGGAGUAAAGAAAAAGGACAAUAGCAAAUGGACACCAGAAGAAUGUGUGAUUGCACCAAUAUUUGAAAAGACCGAUUCACUGACUGGAGGUCUGCUGCAUGUUAAUGAUGACAGCAUUUUAGGUGAAGUGGAUCAGGAUGAUGACAGGUAAUAUCUACAAAUUUUUUAUUUCUAGAAGAAGAAAUAAGCACUGAAUACUUCUGGAAAUGGAGCAGCAUAAUAUAGUGUACGU
rnacentral:lncRNA from 1 species